rnacentral:rRNA from 1 species
UACGUAGGAGGCAAGCGUUGUCCGGAAUUACUGGGCGUAAAGCGCGUGUAGGUGGUGGGACAAGUCUGCUGUGAAAGCGCCUGGCUUAACCGGGCGAGGUCGGCGGAAACUGUUCGACUCGAGGACGGUAGAGGGGGGUGGAAUUCCCGGUGUAGUGGUGAAAUGCGUAGAGAUCGGGAGGAACACCUGUGGCGAAGGCGGCCCCCUGGGCCGGGCCUGACGCUGAGACGCGAAGGCGUGGGGAGCGAACAGG